rnacentral:lncRNA from 1 species
AACUAGUGACACUAGAAUGCUGGCUGCUGUGUGUCUCCUCUGCUGGCUUGGUUGCCAUCAUAUUUUGUUUUGGUGCUGGGACUGAACCUCAGAGUUAUAGGCAUCCUAAACUCACACUGGGCCAAUGAGCCCCGCCCCUCGACCCAGCUCCGGAGUCCUGAACCAGCCCCAGGAUGAGCCUGCUCCUCUAUAUAUAAUGCAUUUUGAGUUGUUCUUUCUUAAUAGGUGUCCUUGUGAGUGUUAGAUGGGUUGGGAGCCGCUGGGAGUGGUAUCUCGCCUGAGAAACUUGCUCUUACAGGCUAUUAAGGACAAUUCUGAGAUGGGUUUAUUAUAGUAUUCGGUAUAUUAAAAAUAAAAAUCUCUUGGCUUUCAGGACUGUGAAAGGAAAGAGUGACAGGAAACUCAAGUGCAGAGUUCUGUGUGUUUAAUAUUCCUGCAUUUGGGAUAGGAUAUUUAGGUAGCACCGAGUUGCAUAUAUUGCAUAGGAUCCAGUAGCCAUAUUUGUGUUAAAAAAGAGAAUACCUUUUGAGAUUUUUCUUAUCAACAAUGCCCUAUCCAUCUUUGAGCAUUAAUACCUAAAUAGGAAGGUUCAUUCUUAGGUAAAAUUGAUUUUGCGAGGAGAGCCUGUAUUUAUUUUAGCAUUUCUUUGGUCUGAUAUCUAGGGGUAUAGUAGCAUUCAUGGGCUUUGCCCCACAUGGAGCUUCGAGCUUAUUGUAGCAUUGCACACUGAUCCCAGGUCAGUGUGAUGCGUGAAAUCAAUUUAUUUGAAUCUCUUUGCCUCUAUAGGAAUUUGGCAGAGUGCCAGUUGUUUUCAUUUAAUGUUCUUUGUGUUGAACACAGACAAGCAGGCUUGCUAUUGUGUUCUUCCUUCUUUUGGUCUCUGUCUCUUACAGCCAAUAUUUUGCUCUGUGGAUUUUGAAAGGAAGGGAGACUUUAUCGAGGGUGGGUGGUGCUUGAUAUGCAAAAACAAACAGUGUGACUUUCUUAUCUUUUAGGAGAUAUUCUUUUCACCUUCAUGACACGAGGUGUUGAUAUUAUACAUAAAAAAUACUUAAGAAUUUUGUUUAGAUAAGAUUCUUGGUGAAAUCAAACAGACUAUAGGUGAUUCCUUGUAUUAAUGACAGUUACUUGAAACAAUUGUAGGAAUUACAAUAAAUACUUAAUUUGUGAACUAAACCAUUUUUAGGAGCAUUUACUCAAUGGGAAAACUUACCCUUUAAUCAAGCACACAUUAAAAGUAAUGCUUUAUCUUUGACCCAUUUUGAUUAAGACACUGCUGUAUAUGACCUGAGUUUGUUAUAUAUAAUGCUCUAAUAAAUUCCUGUGAUUUGGGUAAUUUCUUUUUAAAAUGUGCAGGGUUAAUUCCUGGGAGUGGCAAAGGGCCUUUUUUUCUUUUUUUUUUGCUGUUGUGUGAUAAAUUCAGAUCCAUGCUCCAUUCGUGGUUGUUUUUGUAGGCAGCAGGAAUUGUUUCUGGGUUAGAUCUUGGAAGAGACAGAGAAAGGAAAUAAAUGCCAGAGAGUGAGAGGAGACUGUUCUAUUGAUGCUCCAGGCAGUUCUUACGGAAGUUGAUAUGCAGAACCAUGGAGCCAAGACUUCAGGGUCAGGCUUCUACCCGGCAGCAUAGCUUCCUUGUUUAAUUACCUGAAGAGCAAAACAGUCAGCCUGGGAAUGUGUGAAACCCCAGGAUCUCCUGCAGCCUCCUGGCCCUCUGACAUCCUUCAAGGCCAGUCCCAUGGGUCUGGCUGGUUCACGCCUGGGUUCCUCUCUCUCAGGAGGCAUUGUGUGCAAGAGGGUUUGGCUGUGAAGCUGAGAUCUCUGCCAGUGCCUAGACUCCUGUUCAUUCCUUCUGGUCUGUAUUGACAGAUAGAUUUGGCUUUCCUCUUUCUUCAACGAAUUUAAACAUGUGGCUCUUUCAUUUUGAACCUCUGGCCUUGCUAUGAAACAAUCCCUGUCCCUCCAACACAUUAGCUAAUGGAAGAGUGGCCUUAGUUUCCUGAGAACUCAUUUUUCAGCAUUGUGUGAUCACAUCCUGUGUGUUGCUAUUAUGGGGUCAGACUCACUCAUAAUAAUUUAGUGUGCAACUAACAGUUCUGAGAUGGUUUAUUUAUUCAUACAUGAAAACAGAAUAUCCUGUUUUUAAAAGAAAAGUUAUAGGAUUUUCGAGAUGGGGUCUCCCUCUUUUUUCCUUGGAAUCUGAAUAUAGUGUUAACAUUUGCAGCAGGAAGGGGCACACAUGCUUUGAUGGAGCAGGAGGUGAUGAGAAAUAAUAUUGGUUAGCAAUAUGUCUAGCUUUGGGGGCGUUGCAUAGGGAAAGUAUUCUAAGACUUGCUUGGCGAGAGAGCCAUUUGGGAGACCUCCUGGCUAUAACAAGAUGCUACCUUCCCCAGAGGAAGUCUGACAGCUUCUUUAUCUGUCCUGCUGACUGAAGUGUCCUCCCUGUGGGUGGGGAGCAGGGAUGCUGCUAGUUUUUCCGUCAAACAUCAGUGGAAAGUGUGACUUCAUGUCUAGUAAUUUGGUUUGUCCAACUACUUCCGUAGGCUUCUGUCUUGCAGUCUGAAGGACAUUUGUCCUUUACUGGAACGUGUUUGCCUACAUAAAGUACAAAUAAGAGUUGUGGGCAUGUAAAAAGAGUGUUUUUUUCCGCAUAUAUUUUGUAUUUUCAUUUAUUUAUUCACUUUACAUCUCAAUGCCCAUCCCGCUCUCCUCCCAUCCCCCUUCCCUCAGUUCUUCCUUUACCCCUUCCACUUUCCCUCUGAGAAGGGGAAGCCCCCCCCCCCCCUUGGGUAUCACCCACCCUGGCACAUCAAGUUUCUGUAGGACUAGGUGCAUCCUCUCCCAAGUGUUCUUUUGGUGAAUUCACAAACAUAACUCCACUCCUGGCAAUGAGUUCUCUACACUGCUUUUCCCAAAGUGAUAAACAUGUUGGACUUUGUAGAGAAGUUUCAUGGGAAUUAUUAGAAAAGCAGCUUUGUAUUCAUAUAAUAUUUAUGGAAAUAAUAUGUGUUUGAAUAUUUGUAUACUGCGCCAUGGGCAAGUGUAUAAUCAUUUAACUAGCUGGUCUAGCCUGGUGUACCUGGCGACUGACCUGGCCUGGUGGUCUGUUGCUCACAGGCAUUAAGCACCUGUGCCUGGUGCACCCUCUCUGCAGGUUUGCUCCUGUCUAUUUAUGUAGCAUCCUCCUGCCUUUCCUUCAGAGUUUUUCUUCACCAUCAAUAUGCACGUGGAGAAAGUAGUAUAAAAAUAUACUUUUAGCCACUGUCAGUGUUCAUAACUCACUCUCUACAAACAGACUCUUCACUAAAGCCCCACCCUGCCUCCUGAGCUCCCCAAGUUUUGCUAGGUUUUAUCACCCGACCCACCCCCGACCCCCCCAUAGUUUUUCAGAAUGCAGGUGAGAACAGCCCAGUGCUAUUAUCAGCAGGGCACUGAGUUCACUAAGAGAGGACUGAGAAAGACUGAAAGACAAAUGGCUAGUUGUGGUUUUCAGGUGAGCUUGCUCUGUUAAUCUGGGCUGAAAUGGACAGGAACAGGUGGUGUGGCGGAGGAGAGGAUGGGUAGGGGUUGCUCUGGCCAAGAGCAGGUUGCCAGCUGGGCCAGUGAUCUAGUUCUGUUGUCAGUGUACCCACAGCAGUGGAAAAGGGACCUUUUCACAUAAAAGGCAAUCUUGACAAACUUUCUGAAAACGUUAAUGAGGUAUAAAUGAAUAAUCUUAGUAAGUUGAAGUGCUGAAUUUGCUAAGCGAACUGAGCUGAGGUUCAAAGAUUUGAAGCGCUACUGUAUUUUCUAUAUUCCAAUAUACAGCAGUGUGGUGGGGCGGAUGGGUGCGAACGCCGCUGGAGUCAUUUUGUCUUGGUGCUGUAGCAGAUGUGCUAUACUGGGACCUCUGGACAGAGAAAGCACAGUUAGGGAUGGAAUUUGGUAAUAAAACUCAUUCUAGCUAAAAGUGGGUUUUUCUUUUUAAAGUUUGAAUCUACAUACAAAUGUAACAAAUUAGUGUAUGUGUAUAGAUUUGAAGAAUUUGCAAUAUGG